AACUUAAAGGCUUUGAUCAUUAAGUCCAUGAUGCUUCCUUCCAACAUGUUGAUAACCAUGCUAAUUGAAGGUCUAUUUUCUGGCUUUAUCUGAACUGGCAAAUGGUCAAAACAAGUUUAAUAAUAAGGAGCACACAUAUAGCUUGAUAUCUGAAUUGCUUCCCUUGCUGAAACAUAU